rnacentral:tRNA from 1 species
CGCGGGAUAGAGCAGUUGGCAGCUCGCCAGGCCCAUAACCUGGAGGCCGCAGGUUCGAGUCCUGCUCCCGCUA